GUUAUUCCAACCCAUCAUUUUCUCACUGAAACCCGGCUCCUAGAGCAGAAAUGAUGUGAUUGUCAGCCGGCCCUGAAAUCCAACCACACAAGCCUCUCCACAGGGCUAACAGGUCAUAUGGCUUGAUCCAGGUCAGUCAUCCAAGCAAAGACAAGAAUCACACAGAAAAAGGAGCCACAGUAUAUUUACAACUGGAGCCAGGAAGUGACAGACAGGUCACCUGGUACCCACAGCACCUCACUGGACUCUUUGGGUGGAAAUUAACAAAGAGAAUGAUCAACUGAACCUUACUGAAGGAAUCAAGACGGACAGAAGGAAGCCUUCUGGGGUAACCAUGUGUCCCAAUUCUCUCAACAAGGUGUCAAGUCUGAAGAACCACACACAAGGCUGUGGAGCCAUGGCUCCUGCAACUCUGCUUCUUUGCUGAUGUGGAUCUAGUGAUGGAGUAGCAGGCUGUCUAUUCACACCCCCCCUGACGGAUACACACAUUCCAGAGAUCAUUUGGAGAGUAAGCAUCGAUGAGGAAAUCAUUAACAGGCCUGGGACCUUCUGGGGUGGACUGUGGGGGAUCUUCCAGUCCAUCUUUUAAGUUCACUUAGAACCAGUUCUUCAGCUUCUGUGAUGAAGGGGCCACCCAGCCUUGUAUGGACUGGGAUGCUUCAUCCCUGAGAAGAAGAUGCCUUCAUGUCUUGGUGAGGAAAGAAAAGAGGCAUUGAUGACUAAGGAACCCCAGUCCAUGAGAUUCAAGCUCUCAACUCUAUCGCUGUUAUCUGAUUUCUGCUUUGCCAGCAUCUUCCAUGAAGCCUUGGUAACAGUGUCUGCUCACAUACCAUAGAGGGGCUAACUCCUACAAAAGGGAAAGACAUAUUUGUCCCUGAAAGCAGGGAGUACAGGAUGCAAGAAGCUGUGGCGUGUCCCUACCCUGCUGUCCCUGAUGGACACAAUCUGUUGUGAAAGUGAGAUGACACAGCUUGCCCAAAGGAGCAUUUUACUAAAACUCAAACCUGUGGCAUAACAUUCUAUUCUCUGAGUAUGCUCAUGUAGUAGAUCCACUUAUGGUCUGGAAGCCAGAAUGCAAAGGCAUCUUACAGAGGAGGGAAGAAUGAGAGGCUGAGGUUUCCCCAGAGAAAGCAAAGCAGUGACUGAUCAUGGAGUCUGGCUGGAACCUCAGCCCCACACCAUGGGUACCAAGGGCGCCUGCCCCUUUAUUCAGGGGCAUCACAAGAGACUCUUAGCCUGGACUUGGGCUCCUGAAAGUGUUCAUUAUUUUAUCCUCUGAGACUUUCUGUAAGGGAAAGAGAGGUACAGGCACUAAAAGGGGAGGACAGGAAGGUGGAAUUAGGAAGAAAGCGAUGUCAAGGUAUAAUGCACUGUGAUGGUUCCUUCUGAGUCUAUGGGACUCUGGCCACUGUGGAAAACCAUGUCAGUGCCUCAAAAAGUGGAUCAGCAUUUCUACAGGAUCCCACAGGCCACAUCUGGGUCUUCAUCUUCCAAAGCAGGAAGGAGGGACUCAAUCUAUAUACCUAAGUUCCCAGAAGUGUGGUUCCUAGGAGUACCAUGGUAGAUGCAACCCACUGGUCCAGCAGACAACAGCACAGUAAACGGCAAUCUCUCCAGAGUCAGAUGUCAAAGCUUCAGAACACAAAAGAUGGAAGACAUGGUAGGCACACAGGACUGCCCAGACUUUGUUGUCUACUCUGAUUUUCGGACAAUGGGUGUCAUGACUUUCUCCACAAACCAAAGGCUCCCUGGCCUGAACUUCUUGUUCCUAUGACAGUGUAAUAGUUUCUUACCAACUGCCUUCAGUCAGCUCCAGGAUGAGCAGCCUCACUGAAGGCCUGAACUAGCAGGGAGGACCAUCAAGUUCAUCUCAGUGUCACCAUGCUUAGAUGAGAUGCCAGUCUGAAAACUUGGUGACUGGAUCCGUAUCACAAACCAAAUCUCUAACUUGGAAGACUAAGCAGCCAUUGAUUGGCUUAUUGCUUAUUAUCUGGAGUCCCUAACUUCCUUCUUUUUUUUAACAAACAAAAUAAAUAUUCAAAAGUUAUUUGCAAAGUAUGCAUUAUGCAAAUCCAGUGGCUGUGUUUCAAGAAGUAUAUUUAAGAAGCAGAAUAAGCCCUUCAAUUGGCAGUGCUUCUAGGUACAGUACUGUUAGCUUUGCUGGAAGAUCCAAAUGCUAUCAUUGUUCAAAUGCUGUGCCGUCAGGCUUGCAUAUUAACUGAAAGGAAUGUGAACAGAUGAUAUAGGAGCAUAGGAAGCAUGUCUUCAUAGAAUAUUUGCCAUCGCAACGGAGCUCACUAAUGACCCAGCUACAACCCUAAUUCACCUUAAUCCUAAUUCACCUUAACUCUAACCCUAACCCACCUUAACUCUAGGCCACCCUACUCCUGGUCCCUCUGUUUCCUUCCAGCUGACACUCAGCCAUGGGGCCAUUGUUCCGUAUUUUUUCCCUUACAGCAGCAUUGAUUUCUAGGUCCUAGUUCUCAGAACUUCUCACAUUGCUAGCUGAUUGGCUAGAUGACUGGCUCCAUCCUUGGUGGUUUAAGACAAUUUCAUUUCUUGUCUGUGAAGAAUACACCCAUGAGGAGAGAGACAGUUGAAGGGAAAGGACCAAAAUUCAGUGUCUAUAAACUAGAAAUGAGAUGAUUUAUGUAUUCACAUCAGGACACCUAUUUUGAAUAUCAUUAACAUUUUAACGCCAUCGUACAACUACAUGCAUCAACUCAACAAUCACUCAACAGCGAUCUGAUUGGAUUUUCUCUUACUAGAGCACUGUACUAGAAGCCCUUGGGGGAUCUGGGGAUAUGCAAGGAAGAAAAUGAUAGUUCCCCUCUUGCUCUGAGUCUUAUGAAAUGCCAGGCUUAGUUCCAGUGUUGGUUUGAGAGGGUCAGCUGGAGCUGGCCUCUGAUGACCAUUGUCUUGAGUAGCUGCUGACCCUGCUGUAGAGCAAGCUGAUGCCGUGU